rnacentral:lncRNA from 1 species
GGCAUUACAUUUUUUGUUCCUUGAUGAUAUGGGUUAUCCCAAUGAAAUAGAUGUCAAUAAAACUUGUUGGAUUAUCAAGCUGAAAACGAUGAAUUUUAAGAGGUUCAAAGUUUAAAAGAAAUUAUGGCUCAUGUUAUUGAAGAUUCCAAUAUUGAUAAAGCUGGAAAUGAUUCAACACAGCUAGAAGCAAUAGCGCAAAAUAAAGCAUUAAAUGUGUCAACAACUCUUCUCAACCAAAAAAACAAAAAAAAAUGCAUUUAAAAAUAUAGAUAUUAAAUAUAAAUUGUACUCCCUCCGUCCAACGAAUCUUGACACGUUUUCCUUUUGGGCCGUUCCACGAAUCUCGACACAUUUCCAAAUAAGGUAAUAAUCUACAACACUAAUCUACAACUCCUUAAUUCCCG